AGUGAACGCUGGCGGUAGGCCUAACACAUGCAAGUCGAACGGCAGCACAGUAAGAGCUUGCUCUUACGGGUGGCGAGUGGCGGACGGGUGAGGAAUACAUCGGAAUCUACUUUUUCGUGGGGGAUAACGUAGGGAAACUUACGCUAAUACCGCAUACGACCUACGGGUGAAAGCAGGGGAUCUUCGGACCUUGCGCGAUUGAAUGAGCCGAUGUCGGAUUAGCUAGUUGGCGGGGUAAAGGCCCACCAAGGCGACGAUCCGCAGCUGGUCUGAGGGGAUGAUCAGCCACACUGGAACUGAGACACGGUCCAGACUCCUACGGGAGGCAGCAGUGGGGAAUAUUGGACAAUGGGCGCAAGCCUGAUCCAGCCAUACCGCGUGGGUGAAGAAGGCCUUCGGGUUGUAAAGCCCUUUUGUUGGGAAAGAAAAGCAGCAGGUUAAUACCCCGCUGUUCUGACGGUACCCAAAGAAUAAGCACCGGCUAACUUCGUG
rnacentral:rRNA from 1 species